UACAGAGGGUGCGAGCGUUGUCCGGAAUCACUGGGCGUAAAGGGCGCGUAGGCGGCCCGGUAAGGUUGCGGUGAAAGCCCGGGGCUCAACCCCGGGUCGGCCGUGGCAACUGCUGGGCUGGAGCACAGUAGAGGCGGUGGAAUUCCGGGUGUAGCGGUGGAAUGCGUAGAGAUCCGGAAGGAACACCUGUGGCGAAAGCGGCUCACUGGACCAUUACUGACGCUGAUGCACGAAAGCUAGGGAGCAAACAGG
rnacentral:rRNA from 1 species